GCCUUGGUCGGAAACCAAGGCAUGAAAAGGAG
rfam:Slackia sp. CM382 contig00011, whole genome shotgun sequence.